UACGUAGGGUGCGAGCGUUAAUCGGAAUUACUGGGCGUAAAGCGUGCGCAGGCGGUGAUGUAAGACAGAUGUGAAAUCCCCGGGCUCAACCUGGGAACUGCAUUUGUGACUGCAUCGCUGGAGUGCGGCAGAGGGGGAUGGAAUUCCGCGUGUAGCAGUGAAAUGCGUAGAUAUGCGGAGGAACACCGAUGGCGAAGGCAAUCCCCUGGGCCUGCACCGACGCUCAUGCACGAAAGCGUGGGGAGCAAACAGG
rnacentral:rRNA from 1 species